AUUAAAGUCCAUCCACACACCCGUGUCAAUAGAUUCCUUCAGGAAGUGAGCAAGUGUGUCUGCUCCAACUCGCUGCUUCUUGUGUAAAUACUCCUAUUUCAGGUAAAACAGCUGCACUCAGGUAAUGUUAGCGGUUUCGCAGUGUAGCUGCUACAUGAGUGUACAGACAGACAUUAUCACCUAUCAAGGUUAUCAGAAACCCAAAAACCAAAAACAACAUGUGUUUCGAAGAGAAUUGGCUUUUAUGCAUUCUGAUGAACACAUUGUACUCUACCGUUUUGCCAAGCGGUAGAGUACAUGUUCAUCUUGUUAAACACUUGCUGACGGGGAAUUUCCACAUACACUCUCCUCGCAUCUGAAGCUGACCCACAAAUCACACACACGAUCAUUAUUUCUCUUUUUAACACAAUUAUUGUACACUAAGAAAUGCUCCUGUAUAAUAUUAUCGUUGAAAGUAUCCUGGUUUAUUGUUUCAAGUAACAUGAUAUGGAGCAAUAUUUGGCCCUACAUCCAACUCACACUCCUUUUCCCUGUGGAUCCUAGUCUAUCUGCCUGUCUGUCUUCCUGUCUCUCUGCCUGUCUGUCUCUGCCUGUCAGUCAUCAAUAUAACGGUCUGUCUGUCUUAGUUUCUGUGUUUUGAUACACUCUCAGAUGGGUGUUUUAAUCACCUACAGGCCUCAGAGUCUCACCGUCAGGGGAGAGGAGAGCGGGAGGAAAGCAGAGCAGCGAGCCCAGCCAGACCAUUCGGUGGUGUGCUCCCUUCCUGUGAAAUGUGUCUGGAACCACUUCCCCUCUCCGUCCGCCAUACCGAAGUCCACCAGAGCACUGUAUGGCUCCCCAGCUGUGUCAGUCGUUGACAGUUUUGUGUCUUUCUCUGAUUACUUCAAGAAGUGCACGGCCAAAAUAGCUACAUGGAGGCAUGUUGGAUGUUCGCGUGCAUAGCAGUGCCUAAUUAGAAUAUUGUGAAAUUGACGUUUUCUAUAACUUAGGAGCACACCUGGAUCUGUCUCCAGACAUUCCGCACCAGUCAAGGGUCACAGAGCUGAAACCCACUGGACGAGAGAGAGAACACCAGGCUAAUCAGGGAGGCCUGGCUUCAAGCACCGAGCCACAAAGCAGUUUCGCUUUCUGUGUGGAGCUCAGAGAGAUCGACAAAGCAGAGGGACAGCUGUCACAGGGAGGCAGACCUCUCUGCCACACUGGCUUUAAUGGACUCCUGUUCUGACCAGCCACCCACUACGCCCCUAGAGACAUGGCGGCCACUCCCCUCACUACCUCAUUAGCACAGCAAUAAAGGCCGGCCACAGAGAGACAGAGGGAGGUGGGGCAAAAAGAGGGGGAGUGUGAGAGAGUGCCUUUGGGAGCUCCACUGGGGGUGACCAGACCAGGCAAGGGGG
ensembl:lncRNA